ACAUGACAUAAAGUAAAUCAUCUUUAUUCCAAAAAAAAGUAAAUCAUCUGAUGAUGAAUCAAUAAUGGAAGGACAGUGUUAAGUCUCUGUAUAGAAGGUGAAACAUUCUGUAUAGAAGGUGAAACAUUCAACCUUUUUUAAAGGAUAAACAAAGAAAAAACAUAAACUGGACAAAAGGAUAAACAUUUAGAAUUUACACCUAUAUUGAUAUUGAUCUAAAACACCAGACCUAGAAGUCCCACCAAAAAACUUGUUGGAAGGCAGACUGUGUGGACAUUUCUGUCAUAAAUAUAUCAUAGCUUGACUGAUCAGGGGUCUUCCUUGCUGCAG
rnacentral:lncRNA from 1 species